rnacentral:rRNA from 1 species
AUAUUGGACAAUGGGCGCAAGCCUGAUCCAGCCAUGCCGCGUGCGUGAAGAAGGCCUUAGGGUUGUAAAGCGCUUUCACUGGUGAAGAUGAUGACGGUAGCCAGAGAAGAAGCCCCGGCUAACUCCGUGCCAGCAGCCGCGGUAAUACGGAGGGGGCAAGCGUUGUUCGGAAUUACUGGGCGUAAAGGGCGCGUAGGCGGAACAUCAAGUUAGGGGUGAAAGGCCUGGGCUCAACCUGGGAACGGCCUCUAAAACUGAUGAUCUGGAGUCCGGAAGAGGAUGGCGGAAUUCCCAGUGUAGAGGUGAAAUUCGUAGAUAUUGGGAAGAACACCGGUGGCGAAGGCGGCCAUCUGGUCCGGCACUGACGCUGAGGCGCGAAAGCGUGGGGAGCAAACAGG